CAGAUUAGAGCUUGAAAUAAGCUUUUUAUUUACACUAAAAGGAUAGUUAUAUGUAUAACUUGAUCUGA
rnacentral:tRNA from 1 species